rnacentral:lncRNA from 10 species
CUUUGCAUGACACUGCCUGCCUGUUGUAGACCCGCCCGGGCCCUGCAGUCACUCCUCACACCUGCCCAGCACAGACCUUGAUUCCGCUCAGUCGCCUUUGGGGACUCACGCUUCAAGCGCAACCAAGCAGAAUGUCAACACACACACAGUGUACUUUCGGCAGCAUCACCAUUUUAGUCAGGUUUAUCACAUUUUUUAAUGAUAAAAAAAUUUGAUUCAUUGCAAAAAAUAAAUUCAUUGGCUUAAAUCCCAGGGACCUGUGUUUCUUCCUUAGGUUUAACUUUUCUCCAGCAGGUGGCUUGACCCUGGGACACACACCGCUGGCUUCAGGGACUGCAGAUUUGGAGGCAGAUGCCAGCAUGUUGUCCAGGCUGAGGCUUGAGGCUGCCACAAUGCUGGCUGGGCUGGGGUCUCCUUUCCUCUUCCACUCCAGCAGUGCGGGGAGCUGGCUGAGCCCCAGCAGCAUCGCCACGGGCUGGGGGUGAUGUGAGCACAGGCUGGUGUGAAGGUGGCUGCCAAAGCCUGGUCUCAGUUCCAUGCCCUCCUCAUGAGAUGGGCAUGGAGGGCUUCCAAGUGCCCUGGACAGGUUUCAUCCCGGGGUUGGGGAGUGACCUCCCACAAGUCUGGCCCCCUGUGCACCAUACUCCACAAAACAGGGCACAAGUGCUUCCUCCAGCGCUGCCCUGAGCCUCAGUUCCAUGCCAUCGCCUCUUCUGCCAGGGGUUGCUUGCAGCUCUUCUAAGGCAUGGAAGGAAGACAAGGUCUGUCCAGGUGAGGUAAGGAACCCCUUGCUGUCUGGUCUAUGUUCUUGUUUCAGUUUCUAAACAACCCCAAAAGGCAGGCAUGCGAGUUCUAGCUUAUAAAUAAGGAAACUGAGGCAGAUACCAUGCUUCCGCUGAAUGGAUAAAGGUGCUCGGGAGUCUGUGUCUCAUCAGCAGGCGUGAUUUUGUGUGGGGAACUCUGCAGACCCGCAACACUGACUGGUUGAGCAGACGUGGAGCCCCAUUCCACCCUGGCAGCUGCCUGGCCUGUGUGGUGCGCCUGUUCCCUGACAACAGCUGCCCUCCCAUGCGGCCGUGUCCUGCCCACCCUGCUCAGGACCAGCGGGGAGGGUGUUAGGCUUAGGUUCUGGCCACGUCAAAUGUCCUGAGCAAGAGUCUGUCACUGGUGAUCUUCCUGCUCUCAGAUCUAACUUCAUGCAGGGAACUUGGCUCUGAGGGCCAGGGCGCUGGGGUGGUUUUGGGCAAACUCACCUGGUAUCUCUGUGCUCUGGUUUCAUCCCCUGUGGAUGAGGGGAGGGGGGUGACUUCCUGAUACAGCUGUCUGGGAUGUGGCCAGGGCCCAGUGCCCGGCGGCAUCUGAACAACAGCCCUGGAGGUUGAGGUCCGUCAUUCGCCAUGCGUCUCAGAAGGCAGCUCCACACGGGGGAAGAGAAGAUGCCACCACGGGAGUUCACUCCUGGAGGAGUCACGUGAGUCAUGUGAUGGGUCUUGGAGAAAUAAAUGCAGCUCCAGUGUUGCCCCUGGGCCCACUGCAGAGGUUCGCCGGCUGCCAAGCACGUGCCCGCCAUCCAGAGGGGAAGGUGGAGUCCCUGUGGGCCCCACCUCCUGGCUGGAUGUUGGGCCUGGUGCAUGGUCUGGCUGUGGCUGCCCUGCAUGGAAGGUGCUCCCCAAGUGUCUGCAGGACACAGCACUGAUGUAGGAACUUGCUGCAGAGAGCAGAGGGCCAGGCUGCUGUGAAUCCCUGGGGACUGAGAGAUGGGAAUGACACGUACCCAGGCAGGCCGUGGGGGCAUGGUGUGUCUGCAGGUUUCUCCCUGAAUCUCUGGGACCUGCAAGAGGACAGGCACAGCCGUCAGCGGCUCAGCCCGACCCGCAAGAGGACAGGCAUGGCUGUCAGCGGCUCAGCCCACCGUGGCUCUCUGGGCAGCUCAUCAAGGCAAUCCUGCUUGGGCCGACAUGAUUUUAUAGAGGAGAAACUAAAAUGGGCUAUGAGGAACAGGGGAUCCGAGGCUUGCUGUUAGAUAAACCCGUCUCGUGACUAAACUUCCCGUGUCUAGCUGGUGAACAGUCUUCAUUCCUCAUUGAAAAGGAGGUAAAACAAUGGAUUAGCAUGUCAGCUGAGUUGUUUACAAUUGCGUGUGGACUUUGUUGGCCUUCCUGUCUUUAAGUGGCCUGCAUGGAGAUGGAGUCCCCAGGCACCUUUACAGAGAGCGCCUGGUGUCGGAAGCCAAACAGGAGAGUCGGGACCUGCCCACUGCUUCGUUCGGCCUUGAAGCCCUGCAGAUGCCAGAAGAAAACACACACUGGUGUGUUUCACUCACUCAUCUUGGAGGCCUCCAGAACCGACCUGAAUCACGCACAACACGGUGAAUCCAAGCUGAAGCGGGCAGCUCCCCGCUACCCCCAGAGCACACGAGACUGGCUCCGCUGCCGGGUCUGGCCUGACACACCUGCCGAGCCGGCCUCUUGCUGCCUUUUUUAAUUUUGGAAGCCCAGGUGGAUUCCCACAUCCCCACAUUUACAUUUUCUUCUAAAAAUGGACCGCCGUAAUUAUAUGUUAAAUAUGAUUCAAAUCUGCAGGGAACUGUGACUCAAUAAGCAUGGAAAAAUUAAUGAAAAGCUUAAUUAUUAUAAUAAUACCAUUAAAAUCUAAUAAAGGAAGAAAAAACUGGAGUUCAUUUUAUUUUAGCUUGGGCAUCUAAUAUCAUUUUUCCCCCUUUAGCAGAACUAUAAUUAAAUUAGACUUGGGUUUUCAGAAAAGCUGAAUUAUCUGCAUUGGUGCUUAAAAAUAUUAGGGAGCAAGAGAGAGGAGCCUGGGAGACAGCGUGAGAUGGCCCAUGCGCAAUGCUCUCCCGUGGCAUCCAUCCUGAGGGCUGCCACUCUCAGUCAGUCCACCUUUCCCACCGCUUUUAAUGAUUGGUUCAUCUCCAGCAGCUCUGAUUCCUUCUUCGGCCUUUCACGUACAAAGUAUCCAGGUAUUUAAGGCUCAGGGUAUUAAUUCAAUUAACAAUAAUGUAAGAGCAGGCAGAUGCUCCCCAGCAAAGAAAGUCUCCUCUUUUCACUCUUGGCCUCAUAUGAACUCACAAGAGACCCCACUGUAAGCUCCACCACCAACAUUAGCUACUUGAUUUUCAAAUGAAAGGAAUAUGUUUUUAUUCAUCAAAUGGUUUUGAUGAAAACUAAACAGGAUCCUUCCCUCACAGCUUGGAUGCCAGGCACGGAGGUAGGAGUGCCAAUCUUUGCCACAGGAUGAACUUAGUAGGAGACUGUGUUUUGUUAAUAGAUAAUAAUUGCCUUCUACUGCUAAUUUAUCUUGAAGAGCAUGUGUGUUCCCCUCUGCGUCCCCCUCUCCGUGUGUGGGUGUAAGAG